AGUUGCAACUCAGUUCGCUAUUCACGAGCUAGUUCGUAUUCGACUCAAAAUGAGCUCGAAAUCGGUCGAGCUUGUGUUCGGCUCAAUGUAGCUUGUGUGUGUGUAUAUACAUUAUAAAUCUCUACUAUUUGGAUUUUUUGCUAACUCAAAUACAAAGAGGCUUAUAUUCUGUGAAUUUUAAUUAUUUGAUUAAGAAUUAAAAAAAAAAACUUUUCAUCAGUAGUAGGGCUGACAAUUUAAUUUGCUGUUCGUAAGCUAGCUCAUGUUGGACUCAUUAAUAAAUAAGCUGAACACGAGUUAAAUUUUUCAACUUAAUAUUUCAACGAAUCAACUUAUAUUCAACUUGUUUAAUAAACGAGCGUGUACUAGCCGCCCCAGCGUGCUCGUGUUUGGCAUGUUGGCACUCCUAUAUAUAU
rnacentral:lncRNA from 1 species